rnacentral:tRNA from 1 species
CGCGGGGUGGAGAAGGAGUAUCUCGCUUGUCUCAUAAACAAGAGGUCGGCGGUGCAAAUCCGCCCUCCGCAACCA